GAAAUUAUGGUUACACAAUCCGUGGGGAUAGGUUUAAAGGAAUUUAUCCACUGCUCCCAAACGAACUAGUAGCUCCAGGAGAUAAUUCUUCCCCACCACUGAGUAGAAUGUAUCAAGAACUAGGAGAUAUAUGGAAUGAUGCCAAGACUCAAUCAACACCUCUCUAUCCUAGAGUUACCAUGGCAAAGGACCUCAUGGUAGCUCAAUAAAAGAAAGCACAGGGAGAAAUGGAUAACGCUGGUGAGGUUAUCAGACGAGGUCGUAAUGAUGAAGAUAAAGAGCAAAGUCUAAGUGGUAAUCACACAGUGAAUGGAGAGAACAGAAGAGAGGAAGAUGAACUGAUACGACUGAGAACGGAAUAUGAAGAAAAAAUUAAAACUGAACAAACAGGAGACAGUGGGAGGAGAAGAAGAGAGGAGAGAGAAUGUGAAUAAUUCACUGAACACGAGAGUGGAACUGCCCUUCACCCAUUUCAGACAAGCACUCUACCGACAGUUAAGGGAAUGUUUCCCACCACCAGAGGUGUUGCAAGACCGGGUGAACUGCUCUUCACUGAAGAUGAUGAUACCCUCGAUUAGAUGGAUAAGAUGAAGACAGAAUGGCAAGGAGAGACAACUGAGAGAUUUGAAGGCCCUAAUAAGGGGGACCACAUUAGACACUACUGCGGAGCCUGGAAAAAGAUGAAGACUGAGGACAGAGCAAGAAAGGCUGGACUCGUCGCGCAGCUUAAGAAGGCCCAGCUAGCUCAGCCGGACAAAGGAAAGACCAGCAACCUGAUGGUGGCUGAACCUCGUGCCACCCAGCAGCAACAACCACCACAGCCUCUUCCACCACCUCCUUCACAGUUUACCCAAGCACCUGCAGCUCAGUUCCCUCCUCAACCAUAUGGGAACCCACAACCAUACCUACCAACACUGAGACAACCGCUGGUGUGCUGGAAUUGCGGAAUGACAGGUCAUAUGAGAAACAUGUGCCCUCACCAACCACAGCAUCAGUCACCCUGGCAGCAGAGUGGAAGAGGUCAAUGGAGAGGGAAUGCUGGCAGAUGGAACUUCCAAUGGUGGCUUGCCUGUCUUGGAUAGGGGUUUGGAAAGGUAUUUGUAUUCCCAAUACAGGAAAGCCCAGGACGUUCCAGAACAGGGCGACCCAGACAGCCUGCCUGUUGACGUUGGAGAAUGGAUCAAGCUGAAGGGCAUAGACACUAUCAGAAGGCGUCUACGUUCAGACUCCUCCUGUCUGGAUCCCACCGUGGUUGUCUGGUUUUCUGAGAACACAAAGUUGCCACAGACCUGAUGAAACCAGCCCCCUGUCAGAAGAUGCUUACACUCGUUCACAUUGUUAUGACUUUAUACUUGUGAUGAAAGGUCAAGUUUCGGUCAAACCCAAUUCUGAGUUUGUACUUAGUGAUAAGAUGGUUCUCGCUGUCAGGGGGAGGUUAGAUUUAUUAAAAUGUUGUUGCUAGGGAAAGUUACGUAAGGGGGAUUGGGGAGGCUAUAUGAGUUACAGGAUGUCUUAGACAUUUUGCAGAACUUGGGGAGAACUAUCAUAUGCUGUUAAACUGUACUCUGUAUCAACUUCUGCCUACAAUUGUAUUACUACAAGGAGUAUUUUAAUUAUUAAAGAGUCUGUGCUUCCUUUCCA
ensembl:lncRNA